rnacentral:rRNA from 1 species
UACGGGGGGGGCAAGCGUUGUUCGGAAUUACUGGGCGUAAAGGGCUCGUAGGCGGCCAACUAAGUCAGACGUGAAAUCCCCGGGCUUAACCUGGGAACUGCAGUCGAGACUGCUCUGCUUGAGUAUGGGAGAGGGAGGUGGAAUUUCCGGUGUAGCGGUGAAAUGCGUAGAUAUCGGAAGGAACAUCAGUGGCGAAGGCGACCUCCUGGACCAAUACUGACACUCAAGUGCGAAAGCGUGGGGAGCAAACAGG